UAUUACUAAUAAAUACUUCUAGAAAAAUUAUCAAAAUAUAUUUAAGUCGCGGAUAUCGCUAUCAAGCAACACGUGCAUAACCAUUUCUUCUCCGUCGCAAGAUUUAAAAUCUUCCCAUUCCCGCAAAAAGCUCGUUUCCUUCAGUCAGCUUAUAUACUCACUGUGCAACGUCAUGCCGGAGGAAUUCGUGGCGCCAUCACGUUUAAUACGCACUUAACUUUGCAUGCGGCGUUGUUUUCAUGCACCGUCAUUAAUUAUCCGCAAAAAGUUUCGAUCCAAAGGAAGUGGAUACAGGGUCUACUUUUGUCGGUCUGUCUCGACUUCCGGUCGAUGCAGCCGGCGCGCCCUAACCUGUACAGACUCGUGACACUUUACUCGCGCUAGGCGAAAGAUUAAUGACACUUAGUCGGGUAACUCUGCCGCUGCAUCCCAUUAAUAUAUUACACGAUGUCCAUCUCUCUCUUUCUCGCGCUUCUCGAUCAUUGACAUCGUCGAUUCAUCGUCUACAUUGUCGUCGUCGUUGCCGUUCAGAAACGAGUAGAUGUCGCUCUCGGUGAUUCGAUGCUCGAUGCUCUUCUCGAGCGUUACAUCUCGUAAAUUUCAUUCCAUGGCCAAUCAACGAGCCAAGUCAAAUCGAACGACGUUUCUCGGCGCUAGGCGUCGCUCGCGUCUCUCGGCGUACACAGCGCCGUUUCCUUCUGUUUAAUCUCGUUAAGUCGACUGAUUGUGCUAAUUGCUCUUUGCGAAUUACUUGUGUUUCACGACGUGUUCGUAAGUAAGACAUCCGUUCCGAAACGUGUUUCUUGCUUGCCUGGCUCCCUGGUGCAAUUGGAAGAGGAUUCGAGACGAUUGAAAUACGAUAUGACGCUCAGUUUUACGAGAUAAAAAGAGACGCGUGUGUGAAAACAAUUGGAAAAAGAAAUAUUAAUUGAAAUUAAAAGUGCUUCACUUUACGUGAUUUGUCAAGAAUUACAUCUUUGACGGAUGAAAUAUCAUCGGUUGCCUAACAUCGUCUUUCAAACGAAGCAGCAAAUGUCAAUUCCUGCGGAAAGGUUCAUCGUGCAUCCGACUGCAACGGCACGAAAUUGCGACGUAUCUGUCUCCGAGGACCAAGCUCGGGAAUAAUGCGACGAUCACGCAUCAAUUUGCUCGUGCAACCGUUUCGAAUAACCCCCUUACGCCGCGUACAGAAUCGGCAACUAAUCCAGCAUUGUGUGUUGAGCAUGAUGCGAUUAUCGCGUUAUAUCAUGGGGGAACGUCGAGCUGUGAAAGCGUCGUUGAACCUUCGACCAAAACCGCACACGCGGUUCAAAAAUAAGCUGUAAGCCAAACUUUCAUUCCAAUGUUUAUCGCCUAUGAACGAAAUCUAAUAUUUCGAGAGGUUUCAAUUUUCUAAUAAUAAUGUUAAGUUCUAAUGUAUCGUUUUAUCGCUGACUUCGUAAAAGUGAAUUUGAGGUUAGGAAUUUUCUGUGUUUUUCUGUGAGUAAACUUUUGUUGUAAAGAAAUACAAAUGUGCAAAUUAUAAUUUUGUUAUAUAAUAUUA